AGCAGCCGCGGUAAUUCCAGCUCCAAUAGCGUAUAUUAAAGUUGUUGCAGUUAAAAAGCUCGUAGUUGAAUUUCGGGGUUAGUAGGUUGGUCAUGCCUCUGGUAUGUACUGGUCUCACUGAUUCCUCCUUCCUGAUGAACCUUAAUGCCAUUAAUUUGGUGUUUUGGGGAAUUUGGACUGUUACUUUGAAAAAUUAGAGUGUUUAAAGCAAGCUAACGCUUGAAUACAUUAGCAUGGAAUAAUGAAAUAGGACGUUCGAUCCUAUUUUGUUGGUUUCUAGGAUUGACGUAAUGAUUAAUAGGGAUAGUUGGGGGCAUUAGUAUUCAAUUGUCAGAGGUGAAAUUCUUGGAUUUAUUGAAGACUAACUACUGCGAAAGCAUUUGCCAAGGAUGUUUUCAUUAAUCAAGAACGAAAGUUAGGGGAUCGAAGACGAUCAGAUACCGUCGUAGUCUUAACCAUAAACUAUGCCGACUAGGGAUCGGAUGAUGUUAAUUUUUAAUGACUCAUUCGGCGC
rnacentral:rRNA from 1 species